rnacentral:misc_RNA from 1 species
UUUCCGUAGGUGAACCUGCGGAGGGAUCAUUACAGAGUUCAUGCCCUACCGGUUAGAUCUCCCACCCUAUGUUAUUAUUACUUUGUUGCUUUGGCGGGCCGUUAGGCUCCGGCCCGACUACCGGCCCCGGCUGGUAAGCGCCCGCCAGAGGACCCAAAACCCUGAAUAUUAGUGUCGUCUGAGUACUAUAUAAUAGUUAAAACUUUCAACAACGGAUCUCUUGGUUCUG